rnacentral:tRNA from 1 species
GGGGCUGUAGCUCAGAUGGUAGAGUGCUUGCCUAGCAUUCAUGAGGCCCUGGGUUCAAACCCUUGCACCA